UCAUUUCCCCUUUAUUUAAAAAAAAAGUUUGGAAGCCCAAUAGUUUUUCUCUCAAGCUUUCUCAUAUCCGGCCUUUGAGCUGCCAUGGGCCACCAUGGCGACCACCGGUCACUAGCGACUAUGGCCGCAGUCUAUAGUGGUUGGAAACCCCAAAAAAUGCCCUUUUGACUUCAUUUAAAUCGUUUUAAAACCCCUUUUUUAAAACCCUUUUAUCCCGAUUUAAAAAAUGACAAAAAUAAAUGGAAAUCUUUAAGAAACCUUUCGGUUUCUCCUCCGACAGCAUUAAUAUCUUUCAUUGGAGACAAUGACCUCGGCUUCGCAUAGCGAACGGCACAGGUGGUUAUGAAGUCAACGGAGGUGGGGCAGAGGGCGUGUGAGACGGCGUGCCUACCGACGUGGCAAGGCUACGGCGCGAAAAGGCUUAGGGUUUUCUUUUUUUGGUUUUUAUUAGAUAUGUUUAAGUUGUUGGGCCAACAGGCCACCUAGGGUUUUCUUUGUAUUUUGGGCUUGUACUUUUGUUAUUUGGGCUUGUAAUUUUGUUAAUAGACUGUUAUUUAUUAAGGUCCGGUCAAAUUUGGGCA